rnacentral:rRNA from 1 species
UACGAAAGUCUGAUGGAGCAAUGCCAUGUGAACGAUGAAGGUCAUUUUGAUUGUAAAGUUCUUUUAGGGGGGAAAAUAAUGAUGGUACCUCCUGAAUAAGUGACAGCAAACUAUGUGCCAGCAGCUGCGGUAAUACAUAGGUCGCAAGC